UACCAGCACCCCGAGUGGUCGGGACGUUUAUUGGGCCUAAAGCAUCCGUAGCCAGUUCUACAAGUCUUCCGUUAAAUCCACCUGCUUAACAGAUGGGCUGCGGAAGAUACUAUAGAGCUAGGAGGCGGGAGAGGCAAGCGGUACUCGAUGGGUAGGGGUAAAAUCCGUUGAUCCAUUGAAGACCACCAGUGGCGAAGGCGGCUUGCCAGAACGCGCUCGACGGUGAGGGAUGAAAGCUGGGGGAGCAAACCGG
rnacentral:rRNA from 1 species